UUAGCAUAUGGGUUUGAACAUUUCAGCAAUUAAAAUGUUCUUUAUGAUUCCAAAAAAGCUCUAGCCUAAAUAAAAUUGUGUUAUGCAUUAAAGGACAGACACAUCGUUUGGUUGAGUCUCAUCAGACUUGAAUGAAGUGUCUCUUGGUGGAGGAAAACGUGUGUAAACUACUCCUGUGUGAUGUGUGUGAUGGGGAGGACUCUGUGUGACGCAUUUGACACUUCAAGGAUCCAUCUAGCAAACACACUGACCAACAUGAAGACCUGCACAGUACAAGUUGUCCAUCUGUAACGCCGAUCUGCUGCUGCAAAUCUCAACCCCAAAAACAAGACUUCUACUUUCUACCCGUUUGGUGCCCCUCGCCAAUCUGCAGACAACCACCAGUGUAAUCGACGCAAGACUGCGGCUUGUGCCUCCCCCGAGUAGAGUGGCUCCCACCAGGUAGUGCCAUGGCAACGGGGCUCAGACAUCUAUCACCCCA